UGGGGAACAUGUGGAGAAGUUUCCUUUGUUCUCUUGGUUAUCAACGAUACAAAUGCCUAGCAAAGAUGUAGAUGCGAAGUGUUUACUCUAUUACCUGGUGCCACAUGUAUGUGCAACUAUUUACAAUUACGACUCCUCAUCAUGGACAAGGAUUAUCCUGACUUUCAAGAAUGCCUGAAUUGCUUUGCCUUGCUGUUCUGGACCUGAGCCCUAGGACCAUGCCUCAGGACUACCUGACAUGACUCCUUGCUGUCCCCAGUCCACCUGGCCGUGCUGCUGCUCCAGCUUCAACUGUUCUGCCUUAUUGGAUCAUGCUGGUCAUUUAUGAACAUUUGAACAUCUUGGCCAUGUUCUGUUAUAAUUUCCACCCGACACAGCCAGAAGAGGACUGGCCACCCCACAUAGCCUGGUUCCUCUCUAGGUUUCGGGCUUUCUAGGGGGUUUUUCCUAGCCACCGUGCUUCUACACCUGCAUUGCUUGCUGUUUGGGGUUUUAGGCUGGGUUUCUGUACAGCACUGAGAUGUCAGCUGAUGUACGAAGGGCUAUAUAAAUAAUUUUGAUUUACAAUGAAUUUCACAUGCUGUUGUGCAAAUGGAAUAGAAAACAGGUGGAAAUUAGGCAAUUAUCAAGACACCCCCAAUAAAGGAGUGGUUCUGCAGGUGGUGACCACAGACCACUUCUCAGUUCCUAUGCUUCCUGGCUGAUGUUUUGGUCACUUUUGAAUGCUGGCGGUGCUUUCACUCUAGUGGCAUCAUGAGACGGAGUCUACAACCCACACAAGUGGCUCAGGUAGUGCAGCUCAUCCAGGAUGGCACAUCAAUGCGAGCUGUGGCAAGAAGGUUUGCUGUGUCUGUCAGCGUAGUGUCCAGAGCAUGGAGGCGCUACCAGGAGACAGGCCAGUACAUCAGGAGACGUGGAGGAGGCCGUAGGAGGGCAACAACCCAGCAGCAGGACCGCUACCUCCGCCUUUGUGCAAGGAGGAGCAGGAGAAGCACUGCCAGAGCCCUGCAAAAUGAUCUCCAGCAGGCCACAAAUGUGCAUGUGUCUGCUCAAACGGUCAGAAACAGUCUCCA